GCCCCUUACAUCAUCUGCUUAGAGCGUGGGGCUGAUAACCCCAAGGUUGCAGGUUCAAUCCCUGUAUAGGGCA